rnacentral:rRNA from 1 species
CUGAAACUACGAAUCUUGAGUGUAGGAGGGGAGAAUGGAACUUCUGGUGGAGCGGUGAAAUGCGUAGAUAUCAGAAGGAACGCCGGCGGCGAAAGCGAUUCCCUGGCCUAUUACUGACACUCAGUGUGCGAAAGCUAGGGGAGCAAACGGGAUUAGAUACCCCGGUAGUCCUAGCCGUAAACGAUGGGCACUAAGUAGAGGGAAUUACCGAUGUUCUCUCUGCCGUAGCUAACGCAUUAAGUGCCCCGCCUGGGGAGUACGGCCGCAAGGCUAAAACUCAAAAGAAUUGACGGGGGCUCGCACAAGCGGUGGAGCAUGUGGCUUAAUUCGAUGCAACGCGAAGAACCUUACCGGGGCUUGACAUGGUAGAAGUAGGAACCCGAAAGGGUAACGAACGGUAUCCAGUCCGUAACUAUCACAGGUGUUGCAUGGCUGUCGUCAGCUCGUGUCGUGAGACGUUGGGUUAAGUCCCCUAACGAGCGAAACCCUUGUUUUUAGUUACCAGUGGGUUAUGCCGGGUACUCUAGAAAGACUGCCGUCGUCAAGACGGAGGAAGGUGGGGAUGACGUCAAGUCAUCAUGGCCCUUAUGCCCCGGGCUGCACACGUGCUACAAUGGUCGGUACAAACGGAAGCGAAGCCGAGAGGUGAAGCGAAUCCAAGC